AGAAGCUUGAUUGACGCUCAAGAAAUUGGAAUCUUCGUUUGGCUUUAAUAUUAGUAUUUUCUGCCUAACAGCCUAAUCCUGUUAUUUCUUGUAGCUUUCUCGUACUUUUUUCUUUCACAUUUUAAAAUUCAACAGAUCCAGGGCCCUCCCAGAUCUGUGUGACCAACUUUUGGCCAAGAUGGAUUCCAAAGCAAAGCAUGGUGGGAAGAAGCUUCAGAGCAAGCUGAUGACCUACAUAUGUAGGGUAGAUUGAAGGAGUCGUUUUGGAUGGAGGGAUCUAUCAAGUAAGUGGUAGAAGUGAUACAGUAUUUUGAUGUAAGUAAAAGGGAGGGAAGUAUCAAGCCCCAACUAGAGUCUUCUCUAGAGAACAAGAAAGAAGUCUGUGGGCGAGGCAUUCUGGAGAUACAGCAGUAUCCUGUGCCCGGUCCUUCCCUGCUCUGCCUCAUCUUUAUCUAAGACGCAAAUGUUCUUUAUUUUUUGGUCUUUUUGUCUUUUCUACGGCCACACCUGCGGCAUAUGGAGGUUCCCAGGCUAGGGGUC